GAUGAACGCUGGCGGCGUGCCUAAUACAUGCAAGUCGAGCGAACGGACGAGAAGCUUGCUUCCCUGAUGUUAGCGGCGGACGGGUGAGUAACACAUGGAUAACCUACCUAUAAGACUGGGAUAACUUCGGGAAACCGGAGCUAAUACCGGAUAAUAUUUUGAACCGCAUGGUUCAAAAGUGAAAGACGGUCUUGCUGUCACUUAUAGAUGGAUCCGCGCUGCAUUAGCUAGUUUGUAAGGUAACGGCUUACCAAGGCAACGAUGCAUAGCCGACCUGAGAGGGUGAUCGGCCACACUGGAACUGAGACACGGUCCAGACUCCUACGGGAGGCAGCAGUAGGGAAUCUUCCGCAAUGGGCGAAAGCCUGACGGAGCAACGCCGCGUGAGUGAUGAAGGUCUUCGGAUCGUAAAACUCUGUUAUUAGGGAAGAACAUAUGUGUAAGUAACUGUGCACAUCUUGACGGUACCUAAUCAGAAAGCCACGGCUAACUACGUG
rnacentral:rRNA from 1 species